rnacentral:rRNA from 1 species
UACGGAGGGUGCAAGCGUUAUCCGGAUUCACUGGGUUUAAAGGGUGCGUAGGUGGAUUAGUAAGUCAGUGGUGAAAUCUCCGGGCUUAACCCGGAAACUGCCAUUGAUACUAUUAGUCUUGAAUACCGUGGAGGUCAGCGGAAUAUGUCAUAUAGCGGUGAAAUGCUUAGAUAUGACAUAGAACACCAAUUGCGAAGGCAGCUGGCUACACGAGCAUUGACACUCAGGCACGAAAGCGUGGGGAUCAAACAGG